UGGGGAAUAUUGGACAAUGGGGGCAACCCUGAUCCAGCCAUGCCGCGUGAGUGAUGAAGGCCUUCGGGUUGUAAAGCUCUUUUGGCGGGGACGAUGAUGACGGUACCCGCAGAAUAAGCCCCGGCUAACUUCGUGCCAGCAGCCGCGGUAAGACGAAGGGGGCUAGCGUUGUUCGGAAUUACUGGGCGUAAAGCGAGUGUAGGCGGUUGCCGUAGUCAGGUGUGAAAGCCUUGAGCUCAACUCAAGAAAUGCACUUGAUACUGGGUGACUAGAGGACCGGAGAGGAUAGUGGAAUUCCCCAGUGUAGUGGUGAAAUACGUAGAGAUUGGGAAGAACACCAGUGGCGAAGGCGGCUAUCUGGACGGUUACUGACGCUAAGACUCGAAAGCGUGGGGAGCAAACAGGAUUAGAUACCCUGGUAGUCCACGCCGUAAACGAUGGGUGCUAGACGUUGGCGAGCUUGUCGUCAGUGUCGCAGCUAAC
rnacentral:rRNA from 1 species